CUAGCCCAACCGCUAUCUAACUAUAACACAACAUCAAAUUAAAACAUUCAAUUACGCCAUUAUAGUAUAGGAGAUAGUAAUUCUGUUUGGAGCUAUAGAGGGAGUCCCUCAAGGGGACGAUGAAAGGACAAUUUAAAGUGGUAAACAGCAUAGAUUACCCCUUAUACCUUUUGCAUAAUGAGCUAGCUAGUGCAAUUUAUCGAAGAGACCUUCAGCUAGCCACCCCGAAACCAGACGAGCUACCCAUGAACAAUCCACAGGGAUAAACUCAUCUAUGUCGCCAAAUAGUGAGAAGAUUUAUAGGUAGAGGUGAAAAGCCCAACGAGCCUGGUGAUAGCUGGUUGCCCAGAACAGAAUCUCAGUUCAACUUUAAAUUUACCUAGUAAACUUAAAAUUGUAAUGUAAAUUUAAAAUAUACUCUAAAAAGGUACAGCUUUUUAGAAUUAGGAUAAAACCUUACUUACAGAGUAAAGUCUAACG
rnacentral:rRNA from 1 species